UACCACAUCUUCACACAGCAUCACUCUCUCUGACCUGAAACCUGGUACUCAGUACUCUGUCACUGUCUGCACUGUGCUGGAAGAUGGAAAGCAAAGUCAACUGGUGUUAACAACCCUCACCACAGUACCUCCUGCUCCGGACCAGCUAACUGUUGACACCACGUCAGGUACUGUUAGCUGGAACCAGCCACCAGGAUUGGACCAAACCCAACAUCAUUACCAGAUCUCCUACCACUGUCCAGGGACAAAACCCAACUACACUACCACAUCUUCACACAGCCUCACUCUCUCUGACCUGCAAUGUGGGACUCAGUACUCUGUCACUGUCUGCUCUGUGCUGGAAAAUGGAAAGAAAAGUCAACUGGUGUCAACAACCCUCACCAAAGUACCCCCAGCUCCAGACCAGCUGACUGUUGA